rnacentral:RNase_P_RNA from 1 species
AUAGUCGCAGAUGCAAGCCGAAAGGCUGUAUAUGAGGAAAGUCCGGGCAUCGCAGGGCAGGGUGCCGGGUAGUUCCCGGUGAAGGCGACUUUAAGGAAAGUGCAACAGAAAAGAACCGCCGAAUUUUUUCGGUAAGGGUGAAAAGGCGAGGUAAGAGCUCACCGCAGAUUGGGAAAUCAAUCGGGCGUGUAAACCCCACCCGAUGCAACACCGUGUAAAGGAGAAAAUAUUUGCCCGAUAUUCUCCGAUAGAGGUGGCUGGAGCGUGUCAGAGAUGGCAGGCGUAGAUAGAUGACUAUUCACGACAGAACCCGGCUUACAGGAUUACUCAU